UUAGCCCCUCACCUCUCCCUUACUUGGCCUGGAUCCUGUUUUGAGACUUGCUUUUCACCCUGAGCCACCAUUCUAACACCUGUCCAGAGAUAUCAGGGAUGUCUACAAAUUUCCCAGGAGCUGGCUUGGGCCAGGUCAGGAGAUCUUUGUAUACCAGAUCGGACCUAAUGAAUAAAUGAUACUAAGAACUGGAUCUCCUCUAAUGGCUGUACAUGAGUCUGAGAUUCGGAAUUACCACGUGGAAGUCUACAGAAAAGCCAACCCCCAAAUCCCCAGUUAAGGGCCUGGAUUAACUGUCUGCAAAAGUUUAAAUAAGCCAGAAAACCAGAAAGUGCAUUAACCUUCAAAUCUCAAGGUUGCUCAUCCUCA